GAAGUGCUGGAGAAGAUCAACUAAUUGAAAAUACAAGUCAAGAAGGAGCGGUCACAUCCAUUCUGAAUGAAAGAUCUGACCAGCCAACUUUUAGAUCAAGACCUGAUGAAGCCGCUGACUCACCCCUUCUCGCUAUGACGAACAGACUGAGAAAUGAAGUAAGAAAUCGAAACGGCCAGUCCAGCAUUCCCAUCAGAGAAGAAUCCAUACACCUGGCUUUUCACACAUUGACAGCUGUGAGCAAGCUUCUGUCUGCACCUGGCAACCAAGAAGAGGUUCCCGAGCGCAUGGUUAUUCAGGC